rnacentral:rRNA from 1 species
GACGAACGCUGGCGGCGUGCCUAAUACAUGCAAGUCGAACGCAGUGGGGACGGGUGAGUAACACGUGGGUAACCUCCCAUCAGAGGGGAUAACACUUGGAAACAGGUGCUAAACCGAUACUGAUGGAUGGCCCCGCGGUGCAUUCGCUAGUUGGUGAGGUACCGGCUCACCAAGGCCACGAUGCAUAGCCGACGUGAGGGGGUGAUCGGCCAAACUGGGACUGAGACACGGCCAAGACGCCAACGGGAGGCAGCAGGAGGGAAUCUUCGGCAAUGGACGAAAGGCGGACCGAGAAACGCCGCGGGAGUGAAGAAGGUGUUCGGAUCGUAAAACUAUGUUGUUAGAGAAGCGGUAUCUAACCAGAAAGCCACGGCUAACUACGUGCCAGCCGCCGCGGUAAUUC